rnacentral:rRNA from 6 species
UGGGGAAUUUUGGACAAUGGGCGCAAGCCUGAUCCAGCCAUGCCGCGUGCGGGAAGAAGGCCUUCGGGUUGUAAACCGCUUUUGUCAGGGAAGAAAAGGUUCUGGUUAAUACCUGGGACUCAUGACGGUACCUGAAGAAUAAGCACCGGCUAACUACGUGCCAGCAGCCGCGGUAAUACGUAGGGUGCAAGCGUUAAUCGGAAUUACUGGGCGUAAAGCGUGCGCAGGCGGUUAUGCAAGACAGAGGUGAAAUCCCCGGGCUCAACCUGGGAACUGCCUUUGUGACUGCAUAGCUAGAGUACGGUAGAGGGGGAUGGAAUUCCGCGUGUAGCAGUGAAAUGCGUAGAUAUGCGGAGGAACACCGAUGGCGAAGGCAAUCCCCUGGACCUGUACUGACGCUCAUGCACGAAAGCGUGGGGAGCAAACAGG